CAACUGUUACAUAAGUCAUUUGGUCAAGCAUUUUGUUUUAUUUGGAGAUGUACAAGCUCACACCGAAAACCACAAAACAUUUUUCCGUGCAUAAACGCCCAAAAUGUGCCCCACUGCGAAACGUCAUGCAAGCAACUCAGCGAAAACAAUCUGUCACUUGCAACUCGGCGAAAGCAAGCGAUCGCGCUUCCGGUGAGCCACAUACACACCCACACGGCUAAGACGCUCGACAUUCAGACCGGCAAGUAGCAAGGAGCAAGGUGAACGUCGUGUGCGAGCUGAUUGACCGCUGGAGCAGCAUACAGGACCAGCCAAAUCGUGGUGAGUGGAUUCACGAUAAGUGUAAUCAAUAAGUGCUAAGGCAACAACUUUAUCCCAGAAGAUCUGCGCUGGAAACACGUACCGGGAGUGGACUGCUGCACGACGAUUCACCGCAAGCUUCCCACGUGCAAAAUCCUCCCCGUUCGGUAGAAUCCACCGUCGCGGGUUUUCCGACCUACGUAGUCGAGCGGGAAUCACGGAAGGCCGUGCGUUGCAUCAUCCGGAAGAAGAUUCACGCUAAGUGGUUCGGAAACCGCGGGAGAUUCGUGCUGAAUAGCGACCAACGUAAAAACAUCAUCAGUCCAUCGACGAGGUUUGCACCGGAUCAGAACAGCGAACACCCGUAGAUCGCCAGCACACUUGACCGGCAGCAGUGCUAAUCUGGCCUACGUUGAUACUUAUUCCGUACGGGAAACCCGACAGAACGCCCGGAACGACGCUGAGCAUCACGACACAGCAAAGAAGCCUUCCAAGAAGAAGGCUUUUUGUGUUUGCUUUCAGCUCGUCCACAUCGGCUGUACAGA